AUACGUAGGUGGCAAGCGUUGUCCGGAUUUAUUGGGCGUAAAGCGAGUGCAGGCGGUCUUUUAAGUCUGAUGUGAAAGCCUUCGGCUCAACCGAAGAAGUGCAUCGGAAACUGGGAGACUUGAGUGCAGAAGAGGACAGUGGAACUCCAUGUGUAGCGGUGAGAUGCGUAGAUAUAUGGAAGAACACCAGUGGCGAAGGCGGCUGUCUGGUCUGUAACUGACGCUGAGGCUCGAAAGUAUGGGUAGC
rnacentral:rRNA from 1 species